rnacentral:rRNA from 1 species
GUAAGGAAUAUUGGACAAUGGACGCAAGUCUGAUCCAGCCAUGCCGCGUGAAGGAUUAAGGUCCUCUGGAUUGUAAACUUCUUUUAUAAGGGACGAAAAAAGGCUUUUCUAAGUCGUCUGACGGUACCUUAUGAAUAAGCACCGGCUAACUCCGUGCCAGCAGCCGCGGUAAUACGGAGGGUGCAAGCGCUAUCCGGAUUCACUGGGUUUAAAGGGUGCGUAGGCGGGCAGGUAAGUCAGUGGUGAAAUCCUAGAGCUUAACUCUAGAACUGCCAUUGAUACUAUCUGUCUUGAAUAUUGUGGAGGUAAGCGGAAUAUGUCAUGUAGCGGUGAAAUGCUUAGAUAUGACAUAGAACACCUAUUGCGAAGGCAGCUUACUACGCAUAUAUUGACGCUGAGGCACGAAAGCGUGGGGAUCAAACAGGAUUAGAAACCCGAGUAGUCC